rnacentral:tRNA from 1 species
GACUCAGUGGUCAAAUGGUAAAGCGCUCGUUGCGGAGCCAGAGGGUCCUGGGUUCGAUCCCCAACGGGGUCG